CCUACGGGUGACAGCAGUGGGGAAUAUUGCACAAUGGGGGAAACCCUGAUGCAGCGACGCCGCGUGAGUGAAGAAGUCUUUCGGUAUGUAAAGCUCUAUCAGCAGGGAAGAAAAUUACGGUACCUGACUAAGCCUCCGCGGCUAACUACGUCCCAGCAGCCGCGGUAAGAGGUAGGGGGCAAGCGUUAUCCGGAUUUACUGGGUGUAAAGGGAGCGUAGACGGCGCGGCAAGUCUGAAGUGAAAGGCAGGGGCUUAACCCCUGAACUGCUUUGGAAACUGCUAUGCUAGAGUGCUGGAGAGGUAAGUGGAAUUCCUAGUGUAGCGGUGAAAUGCGUAGAUAUUAGGAGGAACACCAGUGGCGAAGGCGGCUUACUGGACAGUAACUGACGCUGAGGCUCGAAAGCGUGGGGAGCAAACAGGAUUAGAUACCCGGGUAGUC
rnacentral:rRNA from 1 species